CCUANGGGUGGCUGCAGUAAGGAAUAUUGGGCAAUGGGCGCAAGCCUGACCCAGCCAUGCCGCGUGAAGGAUGACGGCCCUAUGGGUUGUAAACUUCUUUUGUACGGGAAAAAACCCCCGGUCGUGUACCGGGGCUGAUGGUACCGUAAGAAUAAGCAUCGGCUAACUCCGUGCCAGCAGCCGCGGUAAUACGGAGGAUGCAAGCGUUAUCCGGAUUCAUUGGGUUUAAAGGGUGCGCAGGCGGAAUGAUAAGUCAGUGGUGAAAUCCUACGGCUCAACUGUAGAACUGCCAUUGAUACUGUCAUUCUUGAGUACACUUGAAGUGGGCGGAAUGUGUCAUGUAGCGGUGAAAUGCUUAGAUAUGACACAGAACACCGAUCGCGAAGGCAGCUCACUAAAUUGUAACUGACGCUCAUGCACGAAAGCGUGGGGAUCAAACAGGAUUAGAUACCCCUNUANUC
rnacentral:rRNA from 1 species